UUUUGAUUGAACAGAUCUGAGUUUAAUGAUAAAGCUUGAGAAGGAUAUCUUGCAAGUAGGAUAGGACACUGAAGAAGGAGUAUAAAGGACUUUUAGAAACGAAUCCAUAGAAAUUUCUGUAAGUAGUACAGUAGAGUAUGUGGGCAGAUUUCAAAGCAGAAGUUUUGAAGUAUUUUCUUGAAGACUGUUUCGCUGCGUAGUUAGAACGUACAACUAUUGUAAUGCCAUCUAUGGUUGUCUAGGACAGUGGUCUCUAAAUGUUUUUAAUUGUGCACGCCUAUCAGUAAGAAGUUUUUAAGCAUGCAACUCCCAACGUAUGUACAUUUAUUUACUGCUAAGUAUAUCAUUGCGCCACUGUAAAUAUGUACGUAUUGUACUUACCUUGUAAGUGUAAAUACACAUGCAUUUACAUUAAAAAACAUACAAAAAUAGAAAUGAAGAUGAAAUAAUGUUUUAUUUCUUAAUAAUGCAAAAAAAUUGUUAUCACAAACAUAUUAAUAAUACUGGUGAGAGCAGUGUGAUUGAAUACGGUUCAUUAUUUUUGAGAAUCUCUGUUUAACACUGUGUGACCCAAUGAUUCAAAGGUGUGGCUGUAAUUUCACUUUAUUUCCGUGCUUAGUUUUAAUGGAUACCUCACAAAUAUUAAAAUGGAAGAAGAGCAUCUUUGUAUGCAGGUACUAAAUCACGGUACUCAUUUUUUUCAAUUCCAUCCAGCAUUUAUGUACAGGUUUUUUGCUGAAAUUCAGCUAAUAAUUCCCUUCUUCCGCAGUGUAAAUUGGUUGUUCUUGCCUACUAACCACAGAAUCACACAGAAUCACAGAACUGUAGGGGUUGGAAGGUACUCCUAGAGAUCAAUGAGUCCAACUGCUCUGCUAAAACAGGUUCCCUACAGCAGGUCACACAGAUAGGUGUCCAGAUGGGUCUUGAAUAUCUCCAGGAAAAGGGACACCAUAACAUCUCAGGGCAACCUGAUCCAGUGCUCCGUCACUCUGACACUCAUUAAGCUCUUCCUCGCUGUAAAUUGGUUGUUCUUGCCUACUAACCACAGAAUCACACAGAAUCACAGAACUGUAGGGGUUGGAAGGUACUCCUAGAGAUCAAUGAGUCCAACUGCUCUGCUAAAACAGGUUCCCUACAGCAGGUCACACAGAUAGGUGUCCAGAUGGGUCUUGAAUAUCUCCAGGAAAAGGGACACCAUAACAUCUCAGGGCAACCUGAUCCAGUGCUCCGUCACUCUGACACUCAUUAAGCUCUUCCUCGCGUUAACACGGAACUUCCUGUGGUCCACAGGAAGUGGACGCAUACAAAAGUAAUACCCAUUCCCCCGUACUUUCCUCAUAUUUCCAUUCAGCUCUCCGUGGAUGCAUAAACUAUGAGGAUGACAUCACCUUACUACAUUCUUGUGUUUAUUAGAUUGUCCGUUGUGAUCCCAUGCCCUUUCUUCAUUAAGUAGAGGAAAAGCCAAAGCAAAGCAAGAACCAGGAAUAAAAAAAAACGUCAUUGACACUUAAGCCCUUACAAGAUGCUCCCAUGUUGUACCUGACUUGUGGGAAAGUACCUGGCUGCUUCAUUCUUAUAUGAACACUUUGAUAUGCUAUUGACAUGAUUCGGUGGGUUGACGGUUAGACUAGCUGCUCUAAUGGUCUUUCCAACCUUCAUAAUUCUAUGAUUCUGUAUAAGGUGUUAAUUGAAACGGCAUAUCAAAAUAAGCAAUAUUUUGUUAAGCUCAGAAUCCCACCAUGUCACAUCACAUGCAUCACUACACUUACAGCACAGAUCCUAGAAUCAUGGAACCACCAAGGUUGGGAAAGAGCUCCAAGAUCAUCUAGUCAAACCUUGAGAAGUAAGUUUCAUGCAUGAAAACAGUUUCGUUUUGUUUUUAUUAAAGGAAGGUACACACAUCAUAGAUUAAAAAGGGAAAGCGAUCACAUAACAGUGGUGUGCUGUAGCACUUCAAAUGCUAUUCACUUCUACUAACUGGACAGUAUUGCAUUUUAACAUCUUUAACAAACAGAUUCAAAACCCACCGAAACUUUUCCUCUGGAAGGUUUUUAAAAUGGUUUAGAAAACUGUUUCCAAGUUUCUGUAUGUGUACAGAUAUGUACAGAUAUGUAUAGAUAUGAGGUAUUACAGGCAGCAUAUCACUUUCAGCAGGAAAAUCACAGAAUCUCCACAGCAUAACAUCCUUUCGAAAAAGCACAUACUUUCUCACUCAUUGUUAAAAUGGCACUUUCUUUCAUGCGCUCUUGUGAAUAUAUUUUCUCUGUCUUUUCUUCACGAAACAGAAUUCUAUAGAAACAGAAUCUAGGAAAUACCAGAAGCAGAAAUGCGUUAGAAACAUUUGUACUUUUCAUCCAGCUUGAAUAGCAACCCUCCCAUACCAUAUAAUUUAUUCUGGUACUUGCUGCUUCAAAUCCUCCAUAAUGUUAUCUGUGUAUGCGCUGACAAAGAAAUUCAUUUUAGUUAGUUGUGCUAUUGCUUUCUGUAUGGAAGUUGUAGCCAGAUGGGGGUCGGCCCCUUCUACCAGCUAGCUAGUGAUAGGCCGAGUGGGGGGGGAGGCAGAGGCAGAGGCAGAGGCAGAGGCAGAGGCAGAGGCAGAGGCAGAGGCAGAGGCAGAGGCAGAGGCAGAGGAGGAGCCGCGAGGAGGAGGGGAGAAGCCGUUGCCGCGGCGACGCGCGGCUCGGGCGGGCGCUGUGCGGUGGCAGUGACGCACGGCUCUGCGCGCGCCCUGGAGACGCGUGAACGCGCGAGCGUCCUCCGGCCGGCCCCUUCCUCGUCGUCCUCGUCGUCCUCGUCGUCCUCGCAAAUGCGGACUCAGAGCAAAGCAGCUCCCUUUGGCACGGGGAGGAGCGCCGCUAACUCGACCACGCUCGCUCCCGUGAGGCGGCUCGCUUGCCGGCGAUCUCCGACGGACGGCUCGCUAGGAG
ensembl:lncRNA